rnacentral:misc_RNA from 1 species
UGACCAUAAAACUUGUUUGGGUACAUCCCAUUUAUGUAUCCAUGAGUUGAUCCCAUGCCAGAAAUUGGACCAGCGUGAUGCAAUCCCAUAUAACUGGAAGUUUGCCGGAAAUUAUGGUUCCUCGGAGAUGGAAUAUUAUUAGCCUUCAAAACUGAAGAAGCAAUGCCAGUGCUUCUGUUCUUCCCAUCAAUGCCAAGUCUUGGAUCCUGAUAACCAGUAGCAGGUAUAGCCCCUGGCAAAACACCCCUUCCAUCUGUAUUAUUCAAAUACAACAAUGAAUUUUGAUAUGUUGGUUUAGUGGGAAUUGAGCCAUUGUUUCCCUUCAUUCCUCCACCACUG